UACGGUAAGGCCCUUUCGGGGGUACACGAGUGGCGAACGGGUGAGUAACACGUGAGUAACCUGCCCCACAACUUUGGGAUAACGCUAGGAAACUGGUGCUAAUACUGGAUAUGUGCUCCUGCUGCAUGGUGGGGGUUGGAAAGCUCCGGCGGUUGUGGAUGGACUCGCGGCCUAUCAGCUUGUUGGUGGGGUAGUGGCCUACCAAGGCGGCGACGGGUAGCCAGCCUGAGAGGGUGACCGGCCACAUUGGGACUGAGAUACGGCCCAGACUCCUACGGGAGGCAGCAGUGGGGAAUAUUGCACAAUGGGCGCAAGCCUGAUGCAGCAACGCCGCGUGCGGGAUGACGGCCUUCGGGUUGUAAACCGCUUUCAGCAGGGACGAAGCUUUUUGUGACGGUACCUGCAGAAGAAGCACCGGCUAACUACGUGCCAGCAGCCGCGGUGAUACGUAGGGUGCGAGCGUUGUCCGGAUUUAUUGGGCGUAAAGGGCUCGUAGGCGGUUGAUCGCGUCGGAAGUGGAAACUUGAUGCUUAACGUUGAGCGUGCUUUCGAUACGGGUUGACUUGAGGAAGGUAGGGGAGAAUGGAAUUCCUGGUGGAGCGGUGGAAUGCGCAGAUAUCAGGAGGAACACCAGUGGCGAAGGCGGUUCUCUGGACCUUUCCUGACGCUGAGGAGCGAAAGCGUGGGGAGCGAACAGGCUUAGAUACCCUGGU
rnacentral:rRNA from 1 species